rnacentral:rRNA from 1 species
CGUCAAUGGGCGCAAGCCUGAACGAGCGAUGCCGCGUGAGCGAUGAAGGCCUUCGGGUUGUAAAGCUCAAAAGGGGUGAGAAAGGGCAACUUGAUCGAACCCCAGUAAGCUCGGGCUAAGUUCGUGCCAGCAGCCGCGGUAAGACGAACCGAGCGAACGUUGUUCGGAAUCACUGGGCUUAAAGGGCGCGUAGGCGGGUGCUCAAGUCCGGGGUGAAAUCCCACAGCUCAACUGUGGAACUGCCUCGGAUACUGGGUGUCUCGAGGGUGGUAGGGGUAUGCGGAACUAUCGGUGGAGCGGUGAAAUGCGUUGAUAUCGAUAGGAACUCCGGUGGCGAAGGCGGCAUACUGGACCACUUCUGACGCUGAGGCGCGAAAGCCAGGGGAGCAAACGGGAUUAGAUACCCCGGUAGUCCUGGCCCUAAACGAUGGGAACUAGCUAGUAGGCUUCACAUGGGUUUACUGGCGAAGCAAAAGUGCUAAGUUCCCCGCCUGGGGAGUAUGGUCGCAAGGCUG